CAGAGGUGGAACUGGGAGGAAAGGGUCCAGGUCAGACUAACCCAGGACUAGCACAGAACUCCAGGAAUUACAACAGAUAUCCACCAUUUGACUUCCUGUAAGUCUCAUAAGGUUGCCACUCAAAAGACCUCACUUGCUCUCCAGUGAAAGAGCUGUACACACCACCUGAGCAAGGCCAGCGAGACCGACUCUCCCAAGAAGAUGAACUGGGCUGCAAUCCCUCACCUGAACUCCUUGGAUCCUGUGAAGUACCACCACCCUCGCUUCUGUAUCUCACGGUGUCAAAGAGCUCUCACCACAGCGUAUCACCAAGCCUUUACCUGGGAAUUGUGUGUAUCCAUCUCCAGCCAGUGGCAGGGCUGGGAAUACCAUUUGGCAAUGUGUUGCUGUGAAGGAAACAAAGUGAUCAAAUAAAGAAUGACUGAAGGGAGGGGUGGAAAGUGACCUGUGUUAGAAAUCACAACAGAAAACGCCUCUAGGAUGAGGUGGCAUUAAAGCUGAAACAAGAGGAUGAGAAGAAGCAAACCUGAAAAAGAGGAAGAAUAACACCAAUGCAAGAAGCAACUCCCUACCCAAAAGCCCACAGUGGGUAACCUUAUAGCAUACCUGGCUGAACGGUUGAAUACCAGUGUGGAGGAGGUAGACAUAACAUACAGUUGGGCAGAUCUUUAUAGGGACCAGAAUCCACAAGCCUAAGAGAUUUGAUUUUAUUUUAGAUGCAAGUGAAAGCUAUUAAAUGGUUUUGAAAAGAUAGCUGAAAUGAUCAGAUUCAUGUGGGAUACCAGGCUGUUUGAGUAGAACAAGGGAGAAAGAACAGUGGCGUACACUAAGAUGGCAAUGAGUAUGGAGAAAUAGAUAUAAAAUAUAUAUGUGUGUGUACAUACGUCUAUAUACACGCACACUUUGAGACAGAUUCCAGAAAACGUAAUGAUACAGUCUGGGCAGAAAGUGAGGAAAAGUAGGGACUCAGGGACCGUGCCUAGGUUUUUGUUUGAAGUUAGCAUGUGAACAGUUAGAAUGGAACAGUUUGGAAGGUGGAAUUAUUGAAGUUUUCAUUUAGACAUCGUAAUUGUGGAGACGUCAACCAGUGUUUCUCAAACUUCCCCAAUGAACAGAAUCAUCUGGGGAGCUUAUUACAUAUAUGGAUUAUCAGGUUUUCUGCUGGAAAUUCUGGAUCGGUAGGUCCGAGUUGAGCACAAAGUACUGGAUUUUCUUCACUCUCGGUGGGUAAUAUGCAGCUACCAAAAGAAAGAGAAUGAGGAAGAUCUCUAUCAACUGAUAUAGAGCAAUUUCCAAGAUAUGUUAAAGGCAAAAUUCAAAAGAGUAUCUAUGGUAUGCUAUUUUUCAUGUAGGAAGAAGGGACUAUAAGAAAAUACACACGUAUCUGUGCAAAAAAGAAAUGCAGGAAGGAUAAACCAGAAACCAGUGCAACUGAUUAUCUACAGGAAGCAGAUGGGAACUGGGAGGAAAGGAAGGAAGGACGGGAAUGGUGUAGAAGGGACGAGAAAGAGAUGAUACCUAAGUAUACCUUUCUGUAUACUUUUGAUUAAAACUGAACAGUUUUCACAUACCCAAGUAAAUAAUUAAAAUCAAGAAGCAUUUGGAAGGAUCCCAAAAUGGAACACAAACAGUAACAGGUGAACCUAACUUUACUACAAACACAUUAACAAAAUCACACUGGAGGAAGGGGGAAGAACUAACCUCGGAAAGAACUUUGGAAAAUAGUAUUUUAAUAUAGUGCAAAUAACCAUACACUUAAUAUAUACUACUAAUAAUAUUUAAUAAUAUUAAUAAUACAUUUAUAACUAAUCAUCAUAAUAAGGCUAAAGACAGAAAGAAUUGUACACAGAUAUUGAACUUGUUAGUAAAUUUAUUUUUCACAGGGGCAGAAGUUAACGAUUUUUAAAUAUUUUAUGUGUAUUCUAGAACUGAGCAAAUACAUAAAUGGAUUGUAGAUAAUGAGAAUCAGGUUUCUAAUUGUUAAAGAAAGGAGUUACAAGUAAGUAUAAGGUAAAGGAGGCUAGAAUAAACCCUAUGGUGUUGGAUUGGAAUCAAGGUAUCAGUUUGAACUCAUUCUCAAUUUGAACUCGUGUGUGUGUGUGUGCGCGCGCACGCAUGUGAACACACCCGGACUGAUACAUACAAAAAUAGAAGGAGAUAUUUGUACGUGUGGAUGUAUUCAGAUAUAUUUUCUUAGCUCUGUCUGCUGAAAGGGCAAUGGGGAAGCCUGGGUAGCAAUGAGUACACCUCAUACCAAGAUGCUGGUUUGUAAAUACCAUUAUUUAAGGCAAGGAAUAACAACUCCAUGGAGAAAUGACUGAUCCAAGGCUAGGACAGGGGAAAGUAAAAGAUGGGUCUGGAGCAUUUUUUGUGGUGCCAGAAAGUAAGCUACUACUCAAAAAAUUAUAUGGCUAUGUAGCAAAAACAAGAAAGACAGCUUGAAGGAGUACCAAUCACCAAAUCUGGAACAAUUUGAGAGACAAAAUAAUUAAUGCUAGUGAUGGCUUUUAACCCAUAGAACAAAAUAAAUAUCCACAAGUUUAUACCGAUAUAUGUAAAUAAAUAACCGAAUAAACGCAUAAACGAAGGAGAAGGAACAGCUCUUCGUUACAAUCAGAUCAUAGUUAAUAAAUAUAGAAGGAAUCAUGGAAAUAGAUGAUGAUCAUUUGCAGUAAUUAUUGGAGUCAGGAAUUAUUAAUGGAUACUAAAAUUGGUGUGGGGAAAAGAAACAAGAGCAGAAAUAUUUGAGCAAUCUCAAAUAAUUACAAGGGGAAAAAUAGUAACUUUGCAGUUAUCAUUAUAACCAAGUCAAGUUAGCAUCACCAGUAAUGAAACAUGGAUUUCUUGUGCCUCCUAAUACAGUACACUGAAAAGGACAUAACAUCACUUCUGUGGUAUUCUUGUGAAGAAACACAUAACCUCAGUCUAGCCAUGAGAAAACACCACGGAAACUCAAAUUGAGCAACAUUCUGCAAAAUAACGGGCUAGGAAUCUUCAUUAGUUUAAGGUCAUGAAAGAAAAGAAAGACUGAGGAGCUAUUCUAGAAAAGAAUGAGGAGAUUUGGCAAAUAAAUGCAAUAAAGGAUCCUGGAUUUGAACCUGGACCAGGGGAUCAUAGGAAAUAUUUUCACAUGAGUCUGUUAAUUAGUUAACAGUAUUGUGUCAAUGUAAACCUUCUGGUUUCAAAAUUAUACGGUGGCAAUAUAAUCUGUUAACAUUUGGGAAAGCUGGGUAAAGUGUAUAUGCGAACUCAUGCUGUUAAUGUUUAAAGUUUUUUGGUAAACUAACUCUGAUAAUGCAGUUCUGUGAAAAACUUAGUUUGGAUGUUUCUGAGCCUCUUUUUCGUAUCCCCAUAAAAGAAAGCUCCUCGUUUAGGAAUAAUACUGGUUCAAUGGGGAAGAUAAGAUUUACACAGGUUCAAUCCUAACACUCAGAUAGUAUGGAGUAGGAACAAUCAACUUUGAAUGCCAUUUCGUGACAUUAUAUACUUAAGUGUCAUAAUAAGUAGAAUGCAUAGACUACACAAACUUACAAGUUGAAAAACCAUAGACUCAUAGAAUUGUCUUGUAAUAAAGGCUCUUACUCUUCCAACACCUUAGCUUCAACCUCUGCUAAAAUACUUCAGUGAUAGGGAGUUCAUCAUUUUAAAAUGCAGUCUAUUUUAUUGUUCAAAGGUUCUACUUGUUAAAAUGUUCAUCUUUUUAUCAACCAAAACCUGGUUAAUUGGUCGAAAAUCUUCAGUGUGGAACAGUCUAAUUCCUUUUUCACAGGACAACUCCUAAAAUACUUCAGAACCACCUCCUGGCUCCUUCUGAGUCUUGUCUCACCUCAUCUAUUCCUAGUUCCUUCAGUUACUUCUUAUAUAUCUUAGAUCCCAAACACUUCACUGCACUGAUCACUUUCUUCAGCAUAACUCAUUUGUUCAAUGUGGUACUUUAAGCCUGAAAGGAGUUGUUUACUGUUAUCUGUAAAAAAUUCAGACAUAAAAUUUCCAAUCAGCCAAUAAUGCUUCACCUAACAUGAUCUAUAUACACCACUUGAUAAGCAAAAUUAAAAAUUCCAGAUCAUUUCAUUCGUACAGAGUAAUCUUAGGAUGUCCUUGUCUCUAAUGUGCAGGCAAUGUGAAUUUUCUUUGUGUGCCUCUGUAACUUUGCUCUAUUGCAGGCUACCAGAGGAUGCUCCAGUGAUGCUGCCUAACAGUGAUAUGUAUGUGAUACCUGCUAUGUACUAACAAAUGAGACAUUCAAAGGGAUCCUUUGUUCCCAAGAGACAUAAAUAUACGAAUUUUUAUUCUCUACUUUUUGUGUAUUUCUCAUUUUUAUUAUUCAUCUAUGAGCCCUUAAGUGCAUUCACCAAACUGCAUCAUAAACAUCAAAAUAGAUUACUUCACUUUACCUUUUAUGAGAUUAUUAUACUUAUCCACCAAUAUUUGAGCCCUUAGUCUGGGCAAAUCAUCCUAGCCAGUGAAGUGCAGAGGUUCAGAGCAUGGAG
rnacentral:lncRNA from 1 species